ensembl:snoRNA small nucleolar RNA, C/D box 125
GCUGGGAGCAGCCUCUGCUGAUGAGCCUCCUCUCUCUGAUGGCCGUGCUGGUGAUGAGCACCCAGCCAAAGCCUCUAAGAAGUUGGCUGAAGGGGCUGUUCCUCA